UACGUAGGGACCAAGCGUUGUUCGGAUUUACUGGGCGUAAAGGGCGCGUAGGCGGCAAUUCAAGUCAUCUGUGAAAUCUCCGGGCUUAACUCGGAACGGUCAGAUGAUACUGCUUUGCUAGAGUGCGGAAGGGGCAAUCGGAAUUCUUGGUGUAGCGGUGAAAUGCGUAGAUAUCAAGAGGAACACCUGAGGUGAAGACGGGUUGCUGGGCCGACACUGACGCUGAGUGCGCGAAAGCCAGGGGAGCAAACGGGG
rnacentral:rRNA from 1 species